AGAGAAAACCAUGGAAUACUUAAAUAAGAAAUCACAUUUGUUUUCCAUUCCGCAGCACAUAGAUAUCAAGAACAUAUACCUUAAGGAAGUCACAGCAAAGAUACGUACUACAGCAAGCAGUCACUCAUUCCAAAGUGGAGUUUUUUUUUUUUUUUUUUGAACGGCAAAAUGAUAUUUAUAAAUAUAAAACGAAUUGGAAAAAAGUACAAGUGGUACUCAAUCCACUUCUAAAGAAAAAGUACAAAUAGUACUCCACCCAAUCCAAAGUGGAGUUUCUUGUUGUAGAAGAUAUACUUAAUUUGAAAUCUCUAAGUGGAGUCCUUCCACAUCUCACUAAAGUGUGUGAUUUGAGUAUUAUACUUUGCAAUGAGUUUGAUCCGUGCAAUGAUGAAGAUGGUAGUUACAGCAUGAAAUGGAAAGAACUCCCAAAUCUCAGAGUGUUGACUUUUAAAGAAAUUCCAAAAAUGAAAUAUUUGCCUGAGGGACUUCAGCACAUUACCUCUUUGCACACUCUAAGAAUCAGAGAAUGUGUCAACCUUACAUCUAUACCUGAAUGGGCAAAAUCACUGCAAGUGUUAGAUAUCAAAGAUUGCCCAAAGGUGACGUCUCUGCAUCCAGCGGGGGAAGAUCAAUAAGUUCGAUUUGCGGGGAGGAAUGAAUCAGCAGUUAGUGUGACCAAAUAAAUAAUUAACAUCCCUUUAUUUGUGGUAAGUAUGUGACUUCACAACUUACAUUAAGUUAAUAUUAACUACUAGCAAGUUAAUUUGUUAACAUAGUGUAUUUGUUAACAUUAAGAUUUGGCUUCCUAAUUGUUGUGUCUAAUGUCAUUAUGUCUUUCUUAGGAUGUUGAGUUUUCCCAUUUUUAAGAAUGAUUGAAAGACGGCAACUACUCAAGUCAAAGCCCCUACACAAGCAUAACAAGUCUGGUUGAAACUUAUGUUGAUCGUACCGAUGUCCAAUUUCAAGCUAACUUCUCAAGAACUAGAAUGUGUCUUUAUUCUUAAAUUUUUUAAGCGCUAUUCGUGUAAAAUUGCAAUAUUUCUAGUCUCCAAAAUGUGUUUAUCUAGUUGCCCGCUGAGAUUUAUUAU